rnacentral:lncRNA from 1 species
GAAGAUAAGAGAAACCAAGGAAGAACAAACCCUAGGUGGGAAAAAUCAAAGAGAAAGUGUUGAAAUUCAAGGAUUUGAUCAAGCAAAGGUACAAUUUCUUUGAUUUUGCUAGUGAUUUACCUUACCCAUGCAUUUCCCCUUAAUUUCCAUGGUUAAAUUGCAUGUGUUCAUGAUGAAUUCAUGGUUGGUUGGAAUGGGUAUGGAGAGAGAAUGAUGUUAGAUUGAUUUGAUUCUAAGUUAUGUUAGUGUUUUUAGUUAGUUAAGCAUGUUUAGAAACAAAACAAUAAGAAAAGAAUCCAUUUUCCCCAUGAACCUUCAAUGGCCGAACCCUAUGUGAAGUGUAGAAGUAAUGAAUUGAUUUUGUGAUCAAGUGAAUUGGUUGAAAAAUUGAUGAAAUGAUGAUUUAUGGUGAGAUAAUGGAAUGGGAAAAUUUUUAGUGAUAGUGCACCACAAUGGCCGAAAUUUUCAAGAAGAAUUAUGAGGGUUGUUAGGCUGAAUUUUAGAUUAUUGGAAUUGUAUUUAGUGAAUUGAAAUAUUAGAAAUGAAAUGGAGCAAUUUGGAGCCAAAUCGGACACAAUUAUCAUUUAAUUGGGUAAUAGGCCGAAUUAGGUCAGCACCGCAUUUAAGUGGUAAUCGGAUAAGUUGCAUAUCAUAUCAUGCAUAUACACCGAGCCUGAAUUGAUUUUAUAAUGGUCAAGCAUUGAUGUGGUGAAUUAUGUAUUGUACAUAGUGGAUAGGUGGUGAGUAAAUUACACUGGUAAAAGUACAGAGAUUGUGCUUGGAGACUAGGAUUAGGAGUACAUCGACUCCUAGAACUGUGAGUAAACUUAUUAUCGUCUUAAUUAUCUAGAGUAGUUUUAUACAAUUGUGUGAUUUUAUAGAAAAUGGGUUUAAAUGGUAAAUUACUAUGUUUUAGGAGAAAUUGUGAUUUUAUAAAAUGAUUUUAUAAAUUUUCUGGAAAA